UUUGAUGGCGACCGGCGCACGGGUGAGUAACACGUAUCCAACCUGCCGAUGACUCGGGGAUAGCCUUUCGAAAGGAAGAUUAAUACCCGAUGGCAUAGUUCUUCCGCAUGGUGGAACUAUUAAAGAAUCUCGGUCAUCGAUGGGGAUGCGUUCCAUUAGGUUGUUGGCGGGGUAACGGCCCACCAAGCCUUCGAUGGAUAGGGGUUCUGAGAGGAAGGUCCCCCACAUUGGAACUGAGACACGGUCCAAACUCCUACGGGAGGCAGCAUG
rnacentral:rRNA from 1 species